rnacentral:rRNA from 1 species
CCUACGGGAGGCAGCAGUGGGGAAUAUUGCACAAUGGGCGAAAGCCUGAUGCAGCAACGCCGCGUGAGCGAUGAAGGCCUUAGGGUCGUUAAGCCCUGUUCUCAAGGAAGAUAAUGACGGUACGUGUGGAGGAAGCACCGGCUCACUACGUGCCAGCAGCGGCGGUAAUAUGCAGGGAGCUAGCGUUAUCCGGAAUUACUGGGCGUAAGGGGGGCGUAGGUGGUUUCUUAAGUCAGAGGUGAAAGGCUACGGCUCAACCGUAGUAAGCCUUUGAAACUGGGGAACUUGAGUGCAGGAGAGGAGAGCGGAAUUCCUGGUGUAGCGGUGAAAUGCGUAGAUAUUAGGCGGAACACCAGUUGCGAAGGCAGCUCACUGGACUGUAACUGACGCUGAGGCACGAAAGCGUGGGGAGCAAACAGGAUUAGAUACCCCUGUAGUC